UAGGGAAUCUUCGGCAAUGGGGGGAACCCUGACCGAGCAACGCCGCGUGAGUGAAGAAGGUUUUCGGAUCGUAAAGCUCUGUUGUUAAGGAAGAACGAGUGUGAGAAUGGAAAGUUCAUACUGUGACGGUACUUAACCAGAAAGGGACGGCUAACUACGUGCCAGCAGCCGCGGUAAUACGUAGGUCCCGAGCGUUGUCCGGAUUUAUUGGGCGUAAAGCGAGCGCAGGCGGUUAGAUAAGUCUGAAGUGAAAGGCAGUGGCUCAACCAUUGUAGGCUUUGGAAACUGUUUAACUUGAGUGCAGAAGAGGAGAGUGGAAUUCCAUGUGUAGCGGUGAAAUGCGUAGAUAUAUGGAGGAACACCGGUGGCGAAAGCGGCUCUCUGGUCUGUAACUGACGCUGAGGCUCGAAAGCGUGGGGAGCGAACAGG
rnacentral:rRNA from 1 species